UAUUCUAUGGAGUGGUUCUGAAAGCGCUGCUUUAGGGGCGACUGCAACCAGACGUUGCGGCAAGUUACGGUGGGAACUUCUGUCCGUGCUGUGUGAUUGCGACGAGGAGGACCGCCACCAGCAGCGGCGUGUCGCCGAUUUCGUCUUUGCCGACAUCGAGCAAGUGCAGCUCGCUGGACCGUCACAAGCGCCGGAAGUGUUGCGUUUGGCACUGCGUUUUCCUUCUGAUAUGGGAGAUCGCAACGCAGAGACGACCAGAUGCAUACGAAAGACUACCAGCGGAGAGUGACCUGUGCCAUAUUUCUCUUAACGUCUCAGGUAUUCAAGAAAUGCCAACAUUCAGAAGAAGACGCCAUCUUAUCCAGCACGUUUUGGGUUGCCUCGACAUUUUACCCAAGCCGUGCCACAUACUCGGGCCAGGCCUCUUGCAAACGACGUAUAACCAGGCUCAACGCAUGAGUGUCGAGUGAGUCCGGAGAUCAAGGCAACCUGCUGUGCAACC
rnacentral:lncRNA from 1 species